rnacentral:rRNA from 1 species
UACGAAGGGGGCUAGCGUUGUUCGGAAUCACUGGGCGUAAAGCGCACGUAGGCGGACCUUCAAGUCAGGGGUGAAAUCCCGGGGCUCAACCUCGGAACUGCCUUUGAUACUGUUGGUCUUGAGUCCGGAAGAGGUGGGUGGAAUUCCUAGUGUAGAGGUGAAAUUCGUAGAUAUUAGGAAGAACACCGGUGGCGAAGGCGGCCCACUGGUCCGGUACUGACGCUGAGGUGCGAAAGCGUGGGGAGCAAUCAGG